CAGUAACGGCGAGUGAAGCGGCAACAGCUCAAAUUUGAAAUCUGGCUCCUUCGGGGUCCGAAUUGUAAUUUGUAGAGAGUGCUUCGGGCGAGACCUCGGUCUAAGUCCAUUGGAACAUGGUGUCAUAGAGGGUGAGAAUCCCGUAUGCGACCGUGGCUCGAGCCCAUGUGAAGCCUCUUCGACGAGUCGAGUUGUUUGGGAAUGCAGCUCAAAAUGGGUGGUAAAUUUCAUCUAAAGCUAAAUACUGGCUGGAGACCGAUAGCGCACAAGUAGAGUGAUCGAAAGAUGAAAAGCACUUUGGAAAGAGAGUCAAACAGUACGUGAAAUUGUUGAAAGGGAAGCGCUUGCAACCAGACCUGCCCGUAGGCGAUCAGCCGCUGUUCUCAGCGGUGUACUCGCUCUGCGAUCAGGCCAGCAUCGGUUUCGGCGGUCGGAUAAAGACCUUGGGAAUGUAGCUUCCCUUCGGGGAAGUCUUAUAGCCCUCGGUGUAAUGCGGCCAGCCGGGACCGAGGACCGCGCUUCGGCUAGGAUGCUGGCGUAAUGGUUGUAAGCGACCCGUCUUGAAACACGGACCAAGGAGUCUAACAUCUAUGCGAGUGUUUGGGUGUCAAACCCAUACGCGGAAUGAAAGUGAACGGAGGUGAGAACCCUCAAGGGCGCAUCAUCGACCGAUCCAGAUGUCUUCGGAUGGAUUUGAGUAUGAGCAUAGCUGUUGGGACCCGAAAGAUGGUGAACUAUGCCUGAAUAGGGUGAAGCCAGAGGAAACUCUGGUGGAGGCUCGCAGCGGUUCUGACGUGCAAAUCGAUCGUCAAAUUUGGGUAUAGGGGCGAAAGACUAAUC
rnacentral:rRNA from 2 species